CCUACGGGCGGCUGCAGUGGGGAAUAUUGGACAAUGGGCGAAAGCCUGAUCCAGCCAUGCCGCGUGUGUGAAGAAGGCCUUCGGGUUGUAAAGCACUUUCAGUGGGGAAGAAAGCCUUGGGGCUAAUACCCUCGAGGAAGGACAUCACCCACAGAAGAAGCACCGGCUAACUCCGUGCCAGCAGCCGCGGUAAUACGGAGGGUGCGAGCGUUAAUCGGAAUUACUGGGCGUAAAGCGCGCGUAGGCGGUCUGAUAAGCCGGUUGUGAAAGCCCCGGGCUCAACCUGGGAACGGCAUCCGGAACUGUCAGGCUAGAGUGCAGGAGAGGAAGGUAGAAUUUCCGGUGUAGCAGUGAAAUGCGUAGAGAUCGGGAGGAAUACCAGUGGCGAAGGCGGCCUUCUGGACUGACACUGACGCUGAGGUGCGAAAGCGUGGGUAGCAAACAGGAUUAGAUACCCCUGUAGUC
rnacentral:rRNA from 1 species